rnacentral:rRNA from 1 species
AACGAACGCUGGCGGCAUGCCUAACACAUGCAAGUCGAACGAGACCUUCGGGUCUAGUGGCGCACGGGUGCGUAACGCGUGGGAACCUGCCCUUAGGUUCGGAAUAACUCCCCGAAAGGGGUGCUAAUACCGGAUAAUGUCUUCGGACCAAAGAUUUAUCGCCUUUGGAUGGGCCCGCGUUGGAUUAGCUAGUUGGUAGGGUAAAAGCCUACCAAGGCGACGAUCCAUAGCUGGUCUGAGAGGAUGAUCAGCCACACUGGGACUGAGACACGGCCCAGACUCCUACGGGAGGCAGCAGUGGGGAAUAUUGGACAAUGGGCGAAGGCCUGAUCCAGCAAUGCCGCGUGAGUGAUGAAGGCCUUAGGGUUGUAAAGCUCUUUUACCCGGGAUGAUAAUGACGGUACCGGGAGAAUAAGCUCCGGCUAACUCCGUG